rnacentral:lncRNA from 1 species
ACACAUUUUCACUUGCACAUCAGGUAAAAUGCCACCAUUGAAUCGGAAUUCCAUUUGAGCAUUUUCAAUUCGAGCUUCGAUCAUUUGAGUAUGAUAACAGACUAGUAAAUCAGAAACUGUGGGAGGGAGAGGAGUGAUGUACCUCUUGAUAUUAUUGGAAUAUGAGAGGAAUCGAAGCUCGGCUAGCUGCUGCUUGCUGCCGUUGGGAUUGGGGGGACUGCUGCUGCGGUGACUGCUCCCUGCCGGCUGCGGUUGCUUCUGCUGCUGGGUUUGGGUGACCGGCGCAUGCUUGCUGCCGUUGGGAGCGGACGGGGCGGCAGAAGUGGUGGGCGGCGGCCGGCGUCAUCGUCGGCGGCGGUGGGCGGAGAAGCGUGGAGGCGGCUGGGAAUGGAUAGCAUCCGUGUGCACGGCCCAUAGUGGGCCCUGCGUGAAG